GCCCCCAUCGUCUAGCGGUUAGGACACCAGGCUUUCAUCUUGGGUACCGGAGUUCAAAUCUCCGUGGGGGCGCCA
rnacentral:tRNA from 1 species